UGGCGGACGGGUGAGUAACGCGUGGAAAACCUGCCGUAUACUGGGGGAUAACACUUAGAAAUAGGUGCUAAUACCGCAUAAGCGCACAGCUUCGCAUGAAGCAGUGUGAAAAACUCCGGUGGUAUACGAUGGUUCCGCGUCUGAUUAGCUAGUUGGUGAGGUAAAAGCCCACCAAGGCAACGAUCAGUAGCCGGCCUGAGAGGGUGAACGGCCACAUUGGGACUGAGACACGGCCCAGACUCCUACGGAAGGCAGCAG
rnacentral:rRNA from 1 species